AUGGGGCUAACUCUGAAGGGAUGUUAUCUGAAGUUUUUUCUUCCCACAACAGAAAGAAUGAUACAAGAAACUUGGACAAGCUGGAAAUCAAAUUUAUAGUUCUGCAACAUUCAUCACUUUACUCAUGUUUUCUUGGCUAAAUAAACAACAAAUGAAUAAACCCAAAGUCAAGUUAAAGAACUUCCAGGAUGAAAUCUGACCUAAGCUGUUUGGAGAACUGUUUUCUAAGAUUCAUAACAUGCCAUUCAGGCACUGCCCCUCCAUAUAUAUUUACACACCAUGUCCAGGGUAAUAAUAGGAAUUUUGAGGACACUCAAGUUGAUGUAAAGAAUUAAUCACAGUGCUUGGCAAACAGGUUUCUUCAUCAGCCUGCUCCUCUUCCUCUUCAUCGGUAUCACCAUGAUCACCACUUUCUAUAUGUUUGAAUUAUGUAGGUCCUAG